CCUGGGAAUAAGCGUCGGCUAAUUACGUGCCAGCAGCCGCGGUAAGACGUAGGACGCGAGCGUAUCCGGAUUUACUGGGCGUAAAGCGCCUGCAGACGGUCAGGUAAGUCGGUUGUGAAAGCCCCGUGCUCAACGCGGGGAGNCCAAGCGAUACUGCGUGACUUGAGGGCGGAAGAGGGGAGUGGAAUUCCCGGUGUAGCGGUAAAAUGCGCAGAUAUCGGGAGGAACACCAGUGGCGAAGGCGGCUCCCUGGACCGCACCUGACGCUCAGAGGCGAAAGCUAGGGGAGCGAACAGGAUUAGAGACCCUGGUAGUCCUAGCCCUAAACGCUGGAUGCUAGGUGUAGGGCUGAUGAGGCUCUGUGCCGGAGCGAACGCGAUAAGCAUCCCGCCUGGGAACUACGGCCGCAAGGCUAAAACUCAAACGAAUUGACGGGGACCCGCACAAGCAGCGGAGCGUGUGGUUUAAUUCGAUGCUACACGAAGAACCUUACCUGGGUUUGACAUGCUGGUGGUACCGAACCGAAAGGGGAGGGACCCUUCGGGGAGCCAACACAGGUGCUGCAUGGCUGUCGUCAGCUCGUGCCGUGAGGUGUCGGGUUAAGUCCCGUAACGAGCGCAACCCUUGCUCUUAGUUAUACGUGUCUAAGGGGACUGCCGGCGACAAGCCGGAGGAAGGUGGGGAUGACGUCAAGUCAGCAUGGCCUUGAUAUCCAGGGCUACACACACGCUACAAUGGCCGGUACAAAGGGCAGCCAAGCCGCGAGGUGGAGCGAAUCCCAGCAAAGCCGGUCCCAGUUCGGAUUGCAGGCUGCAACCCGCCUGCAUGAAGUUGGAGUUGCUAGUAACCGCGCGUCAGCCAUAGUGCGGUGAAUACGUACCCGGGUCUUGUACACACCGCCCGUCACGUCAUGGGAGUUGGCAACGCCUGACAGCGGUAGCCUAACCGAAAGGAAGGCGCCGACUAAGGCGGGGCUAGCGACUGGGACGAAGUCGU
rnacentral:rRNA from 1 species